rnacentral:rRNA from 1 species
GUCCACGCCCUAAACUAUGCAUACUAGGUAUUGGCAGUAUCGACCCUGUCAGUGCCGUUUAAAAGCUAACGCGUUAAGUAUGCCGCCUGGGGAGUACGGCCGCAAAGGCUAAAACUCAAAGAAAUAGACGGGGACCCGCACAAGCGGUGGAGCAUGUGGUUUAAUUCGACGGUAAACGGGGAACCUUACCAGGGCUCAACUACUAGCUGCAAGCCACCAGAAACGGUGGCCGCCUUCGAGGGUGCUAGAUAGGUGCUGCAUGGUUGCCGU